UUUCAGAACAUUUUUCUCGCCCCUAAACUGAAUUGACUUAAGUAUGGCCAGACUGUAUUCUGCCUGUACUUCAACUGCAGACUGUUUUGAGGUCUAAAAGGAUGGACUGGAGCGUUCCCUGGGCCUAACUUCUCAAGAGAACGAGGACUUUUCAGCCAUGCCAAAAGGCGUGGAAUAGCCUGCGCUGGGCGAGCUCCCCUAAAACCACGUCGAAGAAGGAAAAAGUACGUCCUGGUCCUUCGAGCUGCACUGCCUGAGAGACCCUUGCUUUGCCCCACUUCUUUUCCGCUAGCGGCAGGCCACAGAACAACGUUGGUACCCGGAGGGAGAGCGAAGAAAGCCCAUGAUGUCUGGCUAGGGCGGGAUGACAGUGAGAAAGAAACAGACCGGGGGGCGGGGGGGGGGGCGGAGAGAAAGUACGUUGUCAGCAGCAGGGUCCAAAGAAAAAGAGAAAGAGAGAAAAAUAAAAAAGAAGAUAGAUAGAUAGAUAGAUAGAUAGAUAGAUAGAUAGAUAGAUAGGGAGGCAGAGAUAUUAACUAGCUACAUAGAUCUAUGGGCAGAGAAAGAAAGAAAGAAAGAAAGAAAGAAAGAAAGAAAGAAAGAAAGAAAGAAAGAAAGAAAGAAAGAAAGGCAUAUGGAAGGGAGAAAGAGACCGGGUCUUUUCUAUCCCGCUUCCCGCCACCCUAUUUCCGUCUCUCUGGUCAAAAAGGUCUCCUUGUAUCUCUAGCCAACUCUGGUGUCAUCCUUAGCAGCUGGGAACGGCGCGAAAAUUUAGUGAUUAGAAGCUUCUCUCUUUAGCGUGGUGCAGCCCUUCUUCUGUGGGUUUUGGUUACAGGUUCUACGAUUAGGUUGGCGAGAACAGUAGUGAACUAAACUUCCCAGUAAGAGGUCUUCACACCAGGGAAGUGUGACUUUGCCGCAGCAGCCCUGCCUCGUCACUCAUUAGGAAGCCGCAGGUUGUCAGCGGCUUCUCCUCUUGGCGCGCACACGGGUGCGCGCGUUCACACACGCAAGCUCCGGCACUGAAACUAAAUUAAGAAGCAGAUGAUUAAGAGACAAGCGUCUACGGGGCCUGUCAUUUCAGCAUCCUUCCAUCAUAACAUUGUGGCACAGGGAAAUUUGCUUGAAACCCUUGGAAAAAAAAAAUCGAUGGCAGAGAGAGCCUAGAUUAGAGAGAGAGAGAGAGAGAGCGUCGAGUCUGGGAACUGCUUGCUCCGGAUUGUCUUCCGCAGAGGAGGGAGAAGAGAUGCUGGCAAGAUCCCAGCGGCCUCCAGAGACUUCUUGGAAACUCUUGUAGGCAUCUCUCAAUUCUCUUCAAGCAGGAAGCUGGUUCCACGGAGGAGGCACCCUUGUGGAUUCAACUCUAACAUCUAACCACUCCGGUCUUCUCACCCCUGCUUCUGACCAAGUUGUCCCUGAGGAAUGAGUUCCCUCGGUUGUUCCAGAAGCCCUGAGGUCUCUGCACCAGUAGAAGAAGCUCAGCAAUCCAACUCCCCUUCUCUGAGCAUUUGGCUUCCUGUGAUGAGGAUCUGAUUUGGAGAACUUCACAAAUUUUUAUGUUGUCAUGGGAUUUUACGGAAUGAAAUAUUGAGACAAAAUGGCUGAAUGAAGCAAACAAAUCACUCCUACUGAACUACAACGAUGACGACGACAACAACAGAUAUUUAUAUACUGCUCUUAUAGUAAUAAAUAAUACAUAAAUAAGAUGGUCCUCUGUCCCCUGUCCACAAAGGGCUCACAAUCUAAGACACACAAGACACAUAAGGCAGAUACCAGCAACAGCCACUGGAAGGAUGUUGUGCUGGGGAUGGAUAGGCCUAUUUUGAGUGGUUGUCCAGAAACAAAGCGAGGCUAAGAAGACAAAGCAAACCCAGAAGAAAACCUCAAGAGGGACUGAAUAUGACCACCAAGAUUUGUAGGAGACUUUGGAAAUGUACAUUAUGUUUCUGAAAGAAAAAAAGAACUCGGUUUGCUACAGUUUUAAGCUUUGCUGUCAGAUACAAAAUUAUUGAAUACGCAUUGGAAGGCACUGCUUUAUUUUAGCAAUUGUUGAAUCUACAAUGAAGUAUUCAGUAAAA